rnacentral:rRNA from 1 species
GACAGAGGGUGCAAACGCUGUUCGGAAUUACUGGGCGUAAAGCGAGUGUAGGCGGUUUGGAAAGUCGGAUGUGAAAGCCCCGGGCUCAACCCGGGAAGUGCACUCGAUACUCCCAAGCUAGAGUAUCGGAGAGGUUGGCGGAAUUCUCGGUGUAGAGGUGAAAUUCGUAGAUAUCGAGAGGAACACCGGCGGCGAAGGCGGCCAACUGGACGAAUACUGACGCUGAGACUCGAAAGCGUGGGGAGCAAACAGG